GCCCCUGUGGUGCAAUGGGUUAGUGUGUUUGCCUGUUAACCAGAAGGCUGGUGGUUCAAGCCUACCCAGGGACA